CCUACGGGUGGCAGCAGUGAGGAAUAUUGGUCAAUGGACGAGAGUCUGAACCAGCCAAGUAGCGUGAAGGAUGACUGCCCUAUGGGUUGUAAACUUCUUUUAUAUGGGAAUAAAACGUUCCACGUGUGGGAUUUUGUAUGUACCAUAUGAAUAAGGAUCGGCUAACUCCGUGCCAGCAGCCGCGGUAAUACGGAGGAUCCCAGCGUUAUCCGGAUUUAUUGGGUUUAAAGGGAGCGUAGGUGGAUUGUUAAGUCAGUUGUGAAAGUUUGCGGCUCAACCGUAAAAUUGCAGUUGAAACUGGCAGUCUUGAGUACAGUAGAGGUGGGCGGAAUUCGUGGUGUAGCGGUGAAAUGCUUAGAUAUCACGAAGAACUCCGAUUGCGAAGGCAGUUCACUGGACUGCAACUGACACUGAGGCUCGAAAGUGUGGGUAUCAAACAGGAUUAGAUACCCCAGUAGUC
rnacentral:rRNA from 1 species